AUGACAGCUGAACGUAUCGUUGUAGCACUUCAGGGUGAAAACAUGAAUGUGCUUGUUCUCUCACCACCGCUCUGUUUUACCGUGGAAAAUUCUCGUCACUUUGGGAGUGCUCUUGAUAAAGUGCUCACAGCCAUAAGUAAAGGAGAGAAACGAUGUUGUAAGAGGGCCGGGCUACUUUCCACGGAAAGAUGGAACAUCCCAGCUGAGAUUGUAUGUCCGGAAAACUUUCAGCAAAAUUCUACCAGUACAGAUCUGAAUGAAGAACCCGUAACUAAGAGACAUCACUACGAAGAUAUGGAUUAGACAAUUAAAAUCAACAAGAUGAAACAAAUUUAAUCAUUUCAACCUUUUACUUCUGCAAAAACCUUCACGUCUUUAUAGUUCACUGACGAAGUGUUUUUUUUUUAAUGCUAUAAUAUUUAUUUUUUCUUCAGAGUAAAGAUUUGUAUUUUUAUAAGAGAAUUACAUACGGGGUUAAUAUAUUUGGACCAGGAUCUUCAAAAAAUGAGGAAUUCCAUAAAAUCAUUAUGCAGAAGGCUAAAAAUAGCUUUUGAUAACAGCGAUAAAAUAUACAUAAUUUUUAUCUAGUGAACAUCUGUGCUAUUUUAGAAAAAUUAAUUUGUAAAUAAAUUGUGGUUUUAGAUUUGAAUUUUAAGAUUUCUGAUAAAAUUAUGUAACUUUACAUAUACAGAUUUAAUAAUGGACCAUGUUUUUCUAGUAAUAUCUUUUCAUGGUGCUUUUGAUUUGAAAUAUCGCUUUAGGAGUUAACUUUAUGUGGAGCAAUUGAUUUUCAAUUAGGUUUUAAUUCUGUACAAAGGAUUAUAUUUCAUGUUUUGUAUAAAUUUAUAAAUUACUUAGAAAUUCUGUUCGUUUCUAAGAUACAAAUAUUUACUCUCAAGCUUUUAGUUCACGUCACAGGUGGGGAAUUGUAAUGGCUUAAUUUUAACAAGAUAGACGUUGAAUUUUCUGUUUUUAACACUGGAUUUACUAGAUUUCAUUCAGAGUUAUGAUAUUUGUAACGUAGUUUUUAAUUGUUUAAUUUUCUGGGGUUAAAAACUGUGUACAAAUAAUUAAAAAACGUUUUUUUUAAAUGACUUGAUGCGAUUUGGUCCAGGUCAUUAAUACAAUUGUCAAAUAUUUUCAACUACACAAUUUCUAUUAUUAUUGUUUUUAAACAUUCUGAGUUUUCAUCUUUAACAGAGUUGACCAUGCUUAAAUAAAUAACCAAAUAGGUGUAAAUCAAAA